rnacentral:rRNA from 1 species
CCAAUAGCGUAUAUUAAAGUUGUUGCAGUUAAAAAGCUCGUAGUUGAAUUUCGGGAUUGACACAUCGGUCGUGCCUUAAGGGGUAUGAACUGGUGUAGUCAAUUUCUCACCUUCUGGAGAACCGCGAUGCCCUUAAUUGGGUGUCGCGGGGAACCAGGACCUUUACUUUGAAAAAAUUAGAGUGUUUAAAGCAGGCAUUUUGCUUGAAUACAUUAGCAUGGAAUAAUAAAAUAGGACGGCAUGAUUCUAUUUUGUUGGUUUCUAGGAUCACCGUAAUGAUUAAUAGGGAUAGUUGGGGGCAGUAGUAUUCAAUUGUCAGAGGUGAAAUUCUUGGAUUUAUUGAAGACUAACUACUGCGAAAGCAUUUGCCAAGGAUGUUUUCAUUAAUCAAGAACGAAAGUUAGGGGAUCGAAGACGAUCAGAUACCGUCGUAGUCUUAACCAUAAACUAUGCCGACUAGGAAUCAGACGAUGUUAAUUUUUUAAUGACUCGUUUGGCACCUUAC